UGGGUGAUGGGAGCUCUGGCCCCUGCUUGGCUGAUUUGCAGGUGGGCAUGCAGGGUGAGCCUGGUGCACGGGACAGGAGGUGGGGAGUUGAGAGCUGGAGUCAGGUGCCACUCACGCCGAGAUGAUGAGGUGUUAACCCCAAACUCUGGCUCCCAUUGGGCUGAGGCUUUAAGAAAACAGAGGCAGUGAGUCUGGCGUCCCGAAGAGCCUUGCCGAGCUGGGCAUGGAGAACGGGCCUCCUGGACGGUCACCUGCCCAGCUGCCAAUGACGCCGGAGAGCUGGAGCUGGGACUUGGAGGAUCUUCAGAGAGGCAGGAGGGUGGUCUCAACGUGCUCCCACCCCGACCCCAAGCCCAUGUGGAGAUGGCCAACAGAGCCUCUUGGAGAGCUGGAUUUGCGUCCCCUGCAGCUUGGGGUUGCUGAUGGUGACUGACAGGCCUCAGAGAUAGGGACAGGAUGAUUGAUGAGUGACAGCCUGAAGGAGCUGAGCACAGCGUGGCUGGCCUGGCAGCUGCUGACCCCACCCCACUUCCUGGCUCUCUGCCUCCUUCUCUGGAGAAGUACCCUCAGCCAAUGGAGCCACAACACCCGACAACUGAAGGCGGGGAGCAUCAGGAGGGGCCCCAGGGAGCUGGCCCCAAGGUCAGGAUGCUGUGGGACGAUGCCUUGCUGGCCACUGUGACUGGAGCCCCUUGAGGGUGGCCCCUGGCAUGAGGUGGCAGAGCAGCUGCUCAGGCCUCCACCUGUGGUCACCUGGGACAGGACUCAGGUGGAUAGGGAUGCCCAGCUUGUGCAAGAUCCCUCGUGUGGAGAGAUAGAUGGGAAAAUAGCCACGGGAAGGAUGUGGAGUGGGGAGGCUGUCGCUCAACACUACUGACACUCAGAGGAGGGACAAUGACAAGUUCAGGGCUGUAGAUCACCAAUCUAAAGCAAAGACAGGUUUCCUUGGCAGAAUUUAAGGAAAUGCUUCUCUUCUAUAGCCAGAGGUCGGAAGGCUGAAGACAAGGUGCAGGCCCUCAAAGAAGGCCAGACUUCUAGCCCAGGAAGUUCCUUCUCCAAAGUCAGGGCCCCGAGAGGGAGGUGGGGUCCCUGCUAUCUGAGAUGAACUACCUGGGGAGACACUCUUGAGACCUUGACCCCCAGAUUCUCCUGUACCUCCGGGCCUGAAGCAGUGGCCCAUUGCCUUGGUUGGAAGACAGAGGUCCUCUCUUACAUAAAGACCACGCAGAAACUAAGGGAAGGUACCUUAGGAGACAAGGUGUUCCCCUCUUCAGCGUCUGCCCCCACCUCCCCUCCUGACCACCAGGCUCAAAGCUGGGAUCACAUCUCAGCAUGACCUAUCUAUCCCAGGACGUGCUUGGCAUGCCAGGUAUCGAGAGGGGUGAACAAGCAGAGGAGUGGUGGGAGAAGCCAGCAGGGACCGGCAGGGUCUGGAGAAUAUUCUUAGAUGUAGACUCUGAACGUUCUAGCUCAAGGGAGGCUGGUAGAAGCUGGAGACUGGAGAGUUGGUUAGUACAGAAACACCAACCCCUAGAAAGGCCCUGGGAAGAUGAUUCUAGUAUGUUGUGUGGAACGGCUUUUUUUUUGAGACAGGGUCUCUCUCUGUCGCCCAGGCUGGAGUGCAGUGCUAUGAUCUGAGCUCUGCAAUCUCCACUUCCCAGGUUCAAGCGAUCCCCCUGUCUCAGCCUCCCCAGUACCUGGUAUUACAGGCAUGCCCCACCAGGCCCAGCUAAUGUAGUUUUUUUUUGUUUGUUUGUUUUUUUAGUAGAAAUGGGGUUUUGCCAUGUUGGCCAGGCUGGUCUCGAACUCCUGACCUAAAGUGAUCUGCCCAUCUUGGCCUCCCAAAGUGCUGGGAUUACAGGUGUGAGCCACAGUGCCUGGCGCUUGGGGAGGGUUCUUGAGAGCUUAGAAAAAGUGAUAGUGCAUAGACAAUGAAGUGGAGAUGCCAGAGCAGCCCUGGAGCAAAGUCUCAGGAUGGCUCCUCUGUUGUAGGUUGUGCAGGAAAACAGCACAAGAGCGAGGCCAUCUCAAAACUGCCGUGAUGACGCACGUUUCACCCCACAUACCAAGGUGCUCUGCAGUCAGUUCUUUAAACAAUGCCUGUAGCUUACAUAACCCCUUGUAAAGAUGCUCAGCUAAACCCCUCCCCAGGUGUUUAUGAGUUUUGCAAGAAAGUCUGAGACGUGGCCGCCUGCACGUGUUUCACCCCGAAAGCUUGCUGCAUGCAAAUACUUUCUGCAGGGCAGAUGUGGGGGUCCACCGUUUUGUGGCUGCCCGGGACAUGGCUUCGUUCCUAAGUCCCUAUUAAAUAUUUCUUUACGAGAAA